UACGGGGGGUGCGAGCGUUGUCCGGAAUCACUGGGCGUAAAGGGCGCGUAGGUGGUUUGAUAAGGGUGUGGUGAAAGUCCGGGGCUCAACCCCGGAUCUGCCGUGCCGACUGUCAAACUCGAGGACUAUAGAGGCAGACGGAAUUCCGGGUGUAGCGGUGGAAUGCGUAGAGAUCCGGAGGAAGACCGGUGGCGAAGGCGGUCUGCUGGGCAGUUUCUGACACUGAGGCGCGACAGCGUGGGGAGCAAACAGG
rnacentral:rRNA from 1 species